rnacentral:lncRNA from 1 species
CCCCAAAAGAGUGCAGUUCUCACCAACCAUGCCAGGGUGGACCUUGGGUGACAGGAACUUCUGCUGUCCCACCUUCUGAGCCCAUUCUCAGCUAUGAGAACAUUUUAAAGUGUGCUUUUCAAGAUAUAACAGUCCAGCAGGCAGCUGAAGACAUUUCCACCAUAGACCAUUUCCUAGAAAUAAGCAGUGAAGAAAAACCUGGCCUUGAAUGUGUACAUAAAUUGUGGGACACACUUUCAACUGAGCAUUGAAAGACAAACAGCGCUCGAGUGGAUUAGGCCGCAGUGGUUGAGAA